CUUGAGAGAAGGAUUUGUUCCACACAGUGUCUGAACCGGGAACUUCAGGAAUCCAUGACCACGUGGGAGAAUGGUUUGGGAGAAGUGGAUCUUCUUGAUCCACCCCUAAGAGUUCUUCAGAAAGGUUCUUCCUCAUUCAUUUCAUUUUUCAUAACUACCAUACGUUCUUAUGACAGAGAACGUAUCUGAUGCCUG